rnacentral:rRNA from 1 species
ACGGGACACGUGAAACCCUGUGGGAAGCAGGAGGGACCACCCUCCAAGGCUAAAUACUACCUAGUGACCGAUAGCGUAUAGUACCGUGAGGGAAAGGUGAAAAGAACCCCGGGAGGGGAGUGAAAUAGAACCUGAAACCCUGCACUUACAAGCUGUGGAAGCACAUUUCUUGUGUGACCGCGUACUUUUUGUAGAACGGGCCAACGAGUUACGUUAAGUAGCAAGGUUAAGCACUUAAGGUGCGGAGCCGUAGCGAAAGCGAGUUUUAACUGAGCGUUCAGUUACUUGACGUAGACCCGAAACCGGGCGACCUACCCAUGAGCAGGAUGAAGCGAAAGUAAAAUUUCGUGGAGGUCCGAACCCACGAGCGUUGAAAAGCUCGGGGAUGACUUGUGGGUAGCGGUGAAAUUCCAAUCGAGCCCGGAGAUAGCUGGUUCUCCCCGAAAUA